GGCUGUAGCUCAGUGGUAGAGUGCCCGCCUUGCACGCGUGAGGCACUGAGUUUGAUCCUCAGCACCA
rnacentral:tRNA from 1 species